GAUGAACGCUGGCGGCGUGCCUAACACAUGCAAGUCGAGCGAACGGACGAUAAGCUUGUUUCUUUGAUGUUAGCGGCGGACGGGUGAGUAACACGUGGAUCACCUACUUAUAAGACUGGGAUAAUUUCGGGAAACCGGAUCUAAUACCGGAUAAUAUUUUGAACCGCAUGGUUCAAAAGUGAAAGACGGCCUUGGUGUCUCUAAUAGCUGGUUCCGCGCUGCAUUAUCUAGUUGGUAAGGUAACGGCUUACCAAGGCAACGAUGCGUAGCCGACCUGAGAGGGUGGUCGGCCCCCCUGGAAGUGGAACACGGUCCAGGCUCCUAAGGGAGGCAGCAGUAGGGAAUCUUCGGCAAUGGGGGGAAACCUGGCGCAACAACGCCGCGUGGGUGGUAGAAGUCUUCGGAGCGGAAAACUCUGUUUUUGGGGAAAAACAUAUGUGUAAGUAACUGUGCACAUCUUGACGGUACCUAAUCAAAAAGCAACGGCUAACUACGUG
rnacentral:rRNA from 1 species